rnacentral:rRNA from 1 species
GAUGAACGCUGGCGGCGUGCUUAACACAUGCAAGUCGAACGAAGCGUUUAAGUGGAUCCCUUCGGGGUGGAGCUUAAGUGACUUAGUGGCGGACGGGUGAGUAACGCGUGGGUAACCUGCCUCAUACAGGGGGGUAACAGUUGGAAACGACUGCUAACACCGCAUAAAACAGUAGUGCCGCAUGGCACAACUGUCAAAUAUUUAUAGGCAUGAGAGGGGCCCGCGUCUGAUUAGCUAGUUGGUGGGGUAAUGGCCUACCAAGGCGACGAUCAGUAGCCGGCUUGAGAGAGUGACCGGCCACAUUGGGACUGAGACACGGCCCAAACUCCUACGGGAGGCAGCAGUGGGGAAUAUUGCACAAUGGGCGAAAGCCUGAUGCAGCGACGCCGCGUGAGUGAAGAAGUAUUUCGGUAUAUAAAGCUCUAUCAGCAGGGAAGAUAAUGACAGAACCUGACUAAGAAGCCCCGGCUAACUACGUGCCAGCCGCCGCAGUAA